rnacentral:rRNA from 1 species
GACGAACGCUGGCGGCGUGCCUAAUACAUGCAAGUCGAGCGAAUCAAUAGGAGCUUGCUCCUGUUGGUUAGCGGCGGACGGGUGAGUAACACGUGGGCAACCUGCCUGUAAGACUGGGAUAACUUCGGGAAACCGGAGCUAAUACCGGAUAAUCCUUUUCCACUCAUGUGGAAAAGCUGAAAGUCGGUUUCGGCUGACACUUACAGAUGGGCCCGCGGCGCAUUAGCUAGUUGGUGAGGUAACGGCUCACCAAGGCGACGAUGCGUAGCCGACCUGAGAGGGUGAUCGGCCACACUGGGACUGAGACACGGCCCAGACUCCUACGGGAGGCAGCAGUAGGGAAUCUUCCGCAAUGGACGAAAGUCUGACGGAGCAACGCCGCGUGAGCGAUGAAGGCCUUCGGGUCGUAAAGCUCUGUUGUUAGGGAAGAACAAGUAUCGGAGUAACUGCCGGUACCUUGACGGUACCUAACCAGAAAGCCACGGCUAACUACGUGCCAGCCGCCGCCGUAACAC